AUGCAUGGACUGACAAUCACAAGGUCAACAGGAUCAGACCAGCCGGGAGCUCUUCUUCCUGGCCAGCGCAUGAGGUACGACGGGCGUCUGCACGGAGCAGCUCAUGAGGUAGCUGUAGCAAGGGGGUAUCUGGGACCUCCACGCCAGGGCCUCGAACCUCCCGCUGGGCGCCGGCCGCCCGGACAGAACCUCCUGCAGCGUCAUCCUGGGGACGUCCUCCUGCGCCGGACAUGCCUGGUAGCAGCCGUAGGAGACGAACACCUUGGACGUCCGGGCCAGCCUCCACAGGUAGACGUGCCGGUUCUUCCGCAGGAGGUCGUGCGGGUGCUUGCCGAACAGGUGCCGGUGCUUCUCCGUGUACUCCCUCAUGUUCCGGAGGACGCCGCGCCAGGACCGGGCGUCCAGGUUGGCCCUCAGCAGGCUGCACGCGAUGUUGCCGCCGAUGAACGACCCCUUCUCCUCCGCGCAUAUGUCCAUGGCGAUGGCCACCAGCCCCGGGUGGUCCUCCGGGUUCGCGCCGCCGAAGGCCAGCGUCUUGAAGUAGUGCCAGUAGGCCUCUGGGCUGAGCACCUUGAGCCGGAGCGCGCGCUCUGUGCCCAGCCUCUGGGCCGCCUCCGACCUGCUCGUCACUAUGAUCCUGCUUCCGCCCCCCUUGCAGAAUGCCGAGGAGCGGAGCCUCCUCCACCUCCCCUCGUCUGGAACCUCGUCUUCUGCCAGCUCGACGAUCACGAGCGAGGCUUUAUUAUGCGGGUGCGAGGCACGGCCGUGGUGCUUGAUCAGGCCGUGGUCUCCUGGAUCGCUCAGCUUGUCGUCGUCCUCGAGGUCGUCGCCGCUCAUGAGGAGGAUCGAAGAGAAGUGGCUGCGCACCCUGUCGUCAUGGCAGACAUGCUCGACGAGAGUGCUCUUCCCGACCCUGGCCGGACCGACGACGGGGAGCACGCCGGCUCCACCCUCCGCUUCUCCGUCUCGCAGCAGAAAGCCGAUGAUCUGCUCCAUUUCCUUCUGCCGGCCGAACAUGAACCUCUCGAGGAGCAGGUGCGCGCUGUAGGGCUGGCGGCAGACGCGGGGAUAGCCCUUGAGGAAGACGACGAACUCCUUCAUGUCGGCGAUCAUGCAGCCGAGCCUGUCGACCACGCGCCGCACCUCCACGGCGCUGUCCGCGGCACCGAAGCAGAGGCGCUUGGCGGGGUUGAGCCUGGACAGCACGGACGAGAGGCGGCACGGGGCCGGCGCCGGCGCGUCGUCGUCGGCGGCGUGGCCGCGGCCGCACGUGAGGGCGUCGAGCAUGUAGUGGCCGCCGUACAUGGCCUCUCUGAGCACGUCGAGCUGCCGGAGCAUGGCCUGGUUGGUGAUGCGCCGGCCCUCGGCCUCCUCGACGGUGACGCCGACGCGCAGCAGCGCGAGGCGCAGCUGCUGGACGCUGUCCUCCGCGCUGCCCUGCUGCAGGUACCUCUGGACCACGAACGACACGGACCUGCCGAGCAGGUCGCUCAGGAUUGCAGGCAGGAACAUCUCCAUGGUCACAGUGAUCAAGGUAGGGGCUGGGUGGAGUGGACUGUGCAAUAUUCCGAUCAAAGAUUCAAAGCUGGAGCUUGCGUUUGCUUUGGUCUUUUGUGCUUGGAAUAA
rnacentral:rRNA from 1 species